rnacentral:rRNA from 1 species
UACGUAGGGGCGAGCGUUGUCCGAAGUUACCGGGCGAAAGCGCGCGUAGGCGGUCAUUUAAGUUCGGGGUGAAAGGUUCAGCGCUCAACGCGAAACAGUGCCUUGAAUACUGGGUGACUUGAGUUCGGGAGAGGGCAGUGGAAUUCCUGGUGUAGCGGUGAAAUGCGUAGAUAUCAGGAGGAACACCGAUGGCGAAGGCAGCUGCCUGGCCUAGAACUGACGUGAGGUGCGAAAGCGUGGGGAGCGAACAGG